GUGCACCAGUCGAGAAUCCUUCGCAAUGCGGGAAACCGCGACGAGGGGACUCCCAGUGCCUACGCUCAGCGUAGGCUGUUCCCGAGCCUAGAAAGCUCGGGGAGUAAGGGCUGGGUAAGACGGGUGCCAGCCGCCGCGGUAAUACCCGCAGCCCGAGUGGUGGCCACUAUUAUUGGGCCUAAAGCGUCCGUAGCCGGCCCGGUAAAUGCCUGGGUAAAUCGUGAGGCCUAACCUCACGAAUUCCGGGUAGACUGCCGGGCUAGGGACCGGAGGAGGGAGAGGGUACUCCGGGGGUAGGGGUGAAAUCCUGUAAUCCCUGGAGGACCACCGGUGGCGAAGGCGCUCUCCUAGGACGGGUCCGACGGUGAGGGACGAAAGCCAGGGGAGCGAACCGGAUUAGAUACCCCGGUAGU
rnacentral:rRNA from 1 species